UACGUAGGGGGCGAGCGUUGUCCGGAGUACUGGGCGUAAAGCGCAUGCAGGCGGUCCUGUAAGUUUGGAGUGACAGUUUCCGGCUUAACUGGGAAAGUGCUUUGAAAACUGCAGGACUUGAGGGCUUCAGAGGGACACGGAAUUCCGGGUGGAGUGGUGAAAUGCGGUAGGAUAUCCGGAGGGAACACCCGAAGGCGAAAGGGCAGUGUCCUGGGGGAGC
rnacentral:rRNA from 1 species